CGCGUAGGCGGUCUUGUCGGUCAGAUGUGAAAGCCCAGGGCUCAACCCUGGACGUGCAUUUGAAACAGCAAGACUUGAGUACGGGAGGGGAAAGCGGAAUUCCUGGUGUAGAGGUGAAAUUCGUAGAUAUCAGGAGGAACACCGAUGGCGAAGGCAGCUUUCUGGACCGAUACUGACGCUGAGGCGCGAAGGCGUGGGUAGCGAACAGGAUUAGAUACCCUGGUAGUCC
rnacentral:rRNA from 1 species